GUUGUAAACCUCUGUUAGCAGGGAAGAAGAGAGAUUGACGGUACCUGCAGAGAAAGCGCCGGCUAAAUUACGUUCCAAGCAGCCGCGGUAAUACGUAGGGCGCGAGCGUUGUCCGGAAUUAUUGGGCGUAAAGAGACUUGUAGGCGGUUUGUCGCGUCUGCUGAGAAAGGCCGGGGCUUAACUCCGUGUAUUGCAGUGGGUACGGGCAGACUAGAGUGCAGUAGGGGAGACUGGAAUUCCUGGUGUAGCGGUGGAAUGCGCAGAUAUCAGGAGGAACACCGAUGGCGAAGGCAGGUCUCUGGGCUGUAACUGACGCUGAGAAGCGAAAGCAUGGGGAGCGAACAGGAUUAGAUACCCUGGUAGUCCAUGCCGUAAACGUGGGGCACUAGGUGUGGGGGACAUUCCACGUUUUCCGCGCCGUAGCUAACGCAUUAAGUGCCCCGCCUGGGGAGUACGGCCGCAAGGCUAAAACUCAAAGAAAUUGACGGGGGCCCGCACAAGCGGCGGAGCAUGCGGAUUAAUUCGAUGCAACGCGAAGAACCUUACCAAGGCUUGACAUAUACUGGACCGCAUCAGAGAUGGUGUUUCCCUUCGGGGCUGGUAUACAGGUGGUGCAUGGUUGUCGUCAGCUCGUGUCGUGAGAUGUUGGGUUAAGUCCCGCAACGAGCGCAACCCUCGUUCUAUGUUGCCAGCACGUUAUGGUGGGGACUCAUAGGAGACUGCCGGGGUCAACCCGGAGGAAGGUGGGGAUGACGUCAAAUCAUCAUGCCCCUUAUGUCUUGGGCUUCACGCAUGCUACAAUGGCCGGUACAGAGGGUUGCGAUACUGUGAGGUGGAGCUAAUCCCUAAAAGCCGGUCUCAGUUCGGAUUGGGGUCUGCAACUCGACCCCAUGAAGUCGGAGUCGCUAGUAAUCGCAGAUCAGCAACGCUGCGGUGAAUACGUUCCCGGGCCUUGUAAACACCGCCCGUCAAG
rnacentral:rRNA from 1 species